UACAGAGACUGCAAGCGUUAUUCGGAUUCACUGGGCGUAAAGGGUGCGCAGGCGGCCGGGUGUGUCAGAUGUGAAAUCCCGAGGCUUAACCUCGGAACUGCGUCUGAAACUACUCGGCUAGAGUACUGGAGAGGAGACUGGAAUUUACGGUGUAGCAGUGAAAUGCGUAGAUAUCGUAAGGAAGACCAGUGGCGAAGGCGAGUCUCUGGACAGUUACCGACGCUGAGGCACGAAGGUCAGGGGAGCAAACGGG
rnacentral:rRNA from 1 species